ensembl:lincRNA
GAAAAUGCCCAUGGCUUUAUCAUACAUAAGUUCCCAAAUUUAGUGGAUAAAGAAUCCCCUAGAGGAAUAAAUACUUAUUUAUUCAGUUCUCAUUUAUCAUGUCCCAGGGAUAGGAACUACAAAAAGCUGGUAUGGGGAGGAAUAAUUCAGUUAGUAAUGUGGCCAGGCACAGCAGCAGCCCAAGGGGAAGAUUGUCCAUUUACAUUUCCACACCAAGGGCCAGGAAAGCCUUCUGGGUGAGCUGACUCCUACUACUGUCCCUGGCCACUGCAAAAUCACCCAAAUGAAAGGUCAUUAUGUAGAGGGGAAAACUGAUUGGAAAAGAUAAUUAAUUACAACAAUUGCUGCUCUAGUUGCUUACCUUCUUACCAGGAAUCCCAUUCAGAAAUUUAUUUCCAAAAUUGAUCCCAAGUUGAACUGUGGGCUUUUUCGCUGCACUCUAAAUUCAAACUUGAAAACAUCUGCGUAUUUAGUUGGCCUGUUGAGGGCAAGAUCGUACUAUCACACGUGAAGGAAGUUAUCAUGUAUCAUAAACAACUUAAUUUAGAUCUGAAGAGUGAGCUCAAAGGAGAACUAGUGAAUCAACUUUGCUUCCUACUUGAAAGCUCCUUUCUAAGACCCUGGAGACUUAUGUGGAACAGGUUAUUAUACUUCUCCUACUAAUCAGAACUCUCGCUCCCCUGGCAACCCGCAUACUCUGUUUCCCCCAUGCCAGCAUUCCUAAAUCUCUCCUGCACCCCUCCCCCAAUUCAAAGAUUUAUUUCACUACUGCGACAGCCUAUGGGCACAUUACAUACUUUAAAACAACACAUUAAUCUGUAACUUUCCACCCCAGACAGCAGACACCGCCAUCCUUCUUGAUAACCACCUCUGGCGAUCGCAAAGAAAGCAUUCCUGAUUUCGGUUACAGUCAAGAAAUUGCAGGGGAUGACGUGUCUUCCACCAGUCUCCACACUUACAUUUAGGCAAACUGCCAGCCUGGCACUAUGUGGAGCCCUGGGAAGUGACAGUAAGAAAAAGAAUCAUAGCUCUGCCCAUCAAAACCAUAAAAGCUUUCAUCAAGGAAGACAACCAGGUGUACUAGUGAAUGCUAUUCAAGGUCUAUCCAACAACAAUCAUCUAAGUUUUCUUCUGUCCUAACAGAGUCCUAAUUUUUCUCAAUCAAUGUACCCUUCAUGUCAAUCAUGUCAUUUUCUACAUCUAGGUGGAGCGUCGAUAUUCAUCAAUUUAUAUGUUGAAUGUUUUCUUGAGUUCGUAAUACAUUUCUAAAUGACAAUUUUUGUGUAGGCUAUGAUUACAAUUUUAACACCUGGAGGCAAAGGUAUUAUGAUAUAGUGAAAAAGAGGGAAUUGGAAACGCCUCCUCUGCCUCAGGAGAAUUUUUAGUUAGACUGCACACCCCAAAAGGUGUAUAACUCACAAAAAGCUUAUU